CUAGGUCGCUACGGCUCCCGUUAGUUAAGCGAGAGAUCUACUCUAGGGUGGACGUUAUACAGGUUUCACUUGAAAUCGAGCGUGUUGAAGUUUCAAGCUGGAGUUUCAAGUUCAUGAAGACAAAGUUUUAGUGAUAAAUUUACCGAUAUAACAAUCAAUUGCUUAAAUUUACGGGAUAUUUAAACAUUUUUGGAACCAUGUUCUUUUUUCUGCUUACAACUGUUUUGAUUGCAAAUGGUGGCGGAGCACAAGUAAAUGAUGACAGCUGCGAUCCGAGCGAGUUGAAGACAUGCGUGGAUAUGACACCGCGCACGCCCGUGGGAUUGCCUCGGACAAGAGAGGAAUUAGACGCUCAUUGCCAGGCAUAUCAAACGGGCAUGGCGUGUAUGGAUAUAUGGAUUAAGCGGUGUCUACCAACUGACGGUCAGAAAUUGGUACAGCAACAAAUAGGUGGCGCGCGAGCACUAAUGCGAUUCUUGUGUACCAAUGAAACAGCACUACGGAGAGACUUUCUAAAGGAGCCAACAUGCUGGGCGUUAGUGUCACCUGAUUGGUCACAAUGUGUUGAUGAGCUGCAACUUGCUGUCCGUGAUAUCUCUGAGCGCUCUAACCACUUAGUCUACUUCAACAAGAACACUGAGCUAUGCUGUGCUCGUGAUGCAUUCGUUGGAUGCGUAGCAAUGGCUGGACGUGCUUGUUCAGCUCAAGCAGGAAACCUACUGCGUCGUAUGGCGUGGGUGCUCGCGCAAGACGUGGCUGCAUGCAGCGCUCAGCCGCGCGCGCACUGUUCUGCAUCACUGCCACAAAUUGCUGCUCCAAUUCUCACUGCACUAUCUGGUGCAUUGCUUUACCCCCCAAGACUUUAAGAACAUAAUUUAAUUCAUGUAAAUAUAUAUACGUAAAGAUGUUUCCUAGGACAUGUUCUUAAAGCGUUCUUAUGACCUUGAGUUGAUUUUAAAUAGUUGAAAUAAAAUCUAAUUGUAAAGCAUUUCAGUUCAGUACAAUUAAUAUGAUGAUUGUAAAAAUAUUGAAAUAUUAUUAAAAAAGUAGGCCGUUUUAACUCUGUUUUAUUAGUAGCUUUUGAAAUUAUAACUUUGUAUUUAUAAAUUCGAUGCUUGGAUUGAAAAUUGAAUUAAAUAUAAAUGUAUAUUUUCCUGUAAUUUAUCUAGAUUUUUUUUCCAUUUCACAACUCUUAAUGUAUAAAAAACAAUUUAUAUAAUAAUUAUAUAUAAUUAUAUUAUAUGAAUAAUUUAUAUAAUUAUUAUAUAAUUUAUUCAAAUGUUAAUAGCUUAGUAAGAUAGAUUAUUAUAAUAAUGUUUGUUAAAGAAUAUUUAUUUUAUACUAAAUGAAGGGGCUUAACUGCAAAGCAUUUUUUUUUUUUCAUUUUUAGCUUUACGUUAUAAUUAUUCAAAAUAUAAUUAAAACAUUAAAGCAAAUUAAAAUAAUGUUCUGUUAUAAUUUAAUAUAAAUAAUUAAGUUUAAAAGUUUCCAAACAAAACGAAAUAUUAAUGAACAAGAAUUCGACGGGUGGUAGAUAGAUACUGUCUUUCACGUCGAAGGUUGUGGGUUCGAUUCCCACCCAGGACAGAUAUUUGUGUGCAUGAACAUGUCUGUUUGUUCUAAGUCAGGGUGUAAUUAUCUAUAUAAGUUUGUAAAUACACAAAAGAAAAAUAGUAUAUGUAGUAUAUCAGUUGUCUGGUUUCCAUAGUACAAGCUCUGUACAAGCUUAAUUUGGGAUCAGAUGGCCGUGUGUGGAAAAUGUCCCAGGAUAUUAUUAUUAUAAUGAAUUCCAAAUAACUACCUGCACUUCUAAACAAAGUUGACGAUGUGUAGGAUCUAUAUUUUUUGUUUAUUAGUCAUUGAGUUCCAUAUUCCUUUAAAAAAGAAUAAUCAAUGUGAUAUCUAUUUAUAUCAAAUAUUUAUAUAACUACUUCAAAUGUCUAAUUAUUUAUUAACAACUUUUAGUUAUAACCAAAUGUUUUUUAUGCAUAUAAUGAUUAUGAAACUGUAUGAUAAUGAUGUAUUAUAUCUGAAUGGGAACUAUAUCAAAAAUUGUAUUUCUACAAAAGCUUAAUGCAACAUUACAAAAUUAUUUAUCUUCAUAUGUUUUACCUCCAAUUAUUAAGUUCUUAAUAAAAAAUAAGCCAUUUUAUUUAAUAAAAAUAUCUAUUUAAAAGAAAACUGGAAAGAACCCAAUUGUGUUUUUAGCAGCAAAUACAAUAUGUAUUACUUUUUGAUGUAAUGACUCAUAUAUAUACAGUAACAGCCUGUAAAUGUCCCACUGCUGGGCUAAGGCCUCCUCUCCCUUUUUUUUUUUUUUUGAGGAGAAGGUUUGGAGCUUAUUCCACCACGCUGCUCCAAUGCGGGUUGGUAGAAUACACAUGUGGCAGAAUUUCGAUGAAAUUAGACACAUGCAGGUUUCCUCACGAUGUUUUCCUUCACCGAAAAGCACGAGAUGAAUUUUAAACAGAAAUUAAGCACAUGUAAAUUCAGAGGUGCUUGCCCGGGUUUGAACCCACGUUCAUCGGUUAAGAUUCACGCGUUCUUACCACUGGGCCAUCUCGACUUUUUAUAUAUAUAUAUAUAAUUAACCAUAACUGCAAAGCAAAAAUCAAGUAAAAAUUGGCAUUCAUUGUUAAGUAUCUAAGAAAUAUAAAUAAAUUUAUGUGCAAAUUUGAUAAUAAUAAUAUUUAUCUAAAUAUUAAAUAUAUGCAUUUUACAUUAAAAUAUCGGAACUUCAUGACUUAUAUAAUCCUUAGUAAUUACUAUAAUUUUAAUAAUAUAAUAUGUUUAUAGUACAUUUAAUAAUAUUACUUUAGGAGUAUUUAGUGCUUUAAACAGGUAUUGGUAAUAAGGUUAUUGAUCAUAUAUUUUUUCUACUUCAGUCAUCCAGUCAUCCAUUAACAGCAAGUUAAUACAAUACUAUGUAGUUGAUACAACAAUGUAGUAUAAAUAAUAAUUUAUUAUAAAUAGUUUGACUUGCAAAAUUUUCAAGAUUAUAUAUCAUUUUAAAGUUAGCGUCUUAAGAUAUGAGAUAUGUUACAAAUCAAAUAAGUUAAUUUAUAAAUGUAAGACAAUAUUUUUACUGCUAUUUAAAUUUUAAAUUGGAAGUUGAAAUUUGAAUUUGCUUGUAUUUAAUGUUUUAUAAUUGUAGUCUUUAUACCUGUAAUGGUAUCUUCAUAUUUCUUUAUACAAUAGUGAUCUUUGAUAAUAUUAAUGAUGUGCAAAUAUUUAAUAUUUUGUGUUACCAAGUUAAUAAACUUAGAAAGUGAGUUAGGUAAACUUUCUAGUCUAUUUUUGUUGUUACUUCUUGGCUUUAUGAUACAAAGAUUUUGGCUUAAGAAUUAUGCGCCAAAUUUAAGAGUGUAUGGCAAUAUUAUCAGAAAAGACUAAAUGUCAAUAAAAAUAUAUUUUCAAAUUCAUAUAUAAAUUAUAUUUUACUACACUACACUUACUAUUUUGUAUACAAUGAUAUAAAAAAAAACUUUAACCAUAAAAAUGUUUAACAAUGUAAAGUUAUACUUUAAAGUGUUAUAUUUGGUGAUAAAAAUAAAAAAUUCGAAAAAAAAGUGUUUAUAUUUAAUUAUUUCGAAAAAAAAUAAUUUUUAUCUCUCAUUUCAAUAUUGUUUUAUUUGACAUAUUGGUGUGUAUGGUAUUGACAAUAUCUACAUAAUAAUGCUGCUUUAGUGUACUUUGAAAUAUUAUGUUAUGCAAUAUGUUAUUCAAUAUCUAAUUCUGAAUAAAGCAAACUGUUCUGCGAUCCAAUAGGCUGUGCUUAUCUGUAUAUAUCAUUUUAUAAGUUUUUGUUUUGUGUUAAGAUCUUAAUUUUGUGAAUUAAUAUUUUAAUGAUAAUAUUGUUUUACUAGUUUUUAUGUCUGUAAAUGUUAUUUUUUUAAAAAUCAAAUUGUUUAUGAAUUCAAAUAAAUUGUAGAAUUAUUUAAA